rnacentral:rRNA from 1 species
UAACACGUAGGGAACCCGCCCAUGUGUCCGGGAUAACUGCUGGAAACGGUAGCUAAAACCGGAUAGGUAUACAGAGCGCAUGCUCAGUAUAUUAAAGCGCCCUUCAAGGCGUGAACAUGGAUGGACCUGCGGCGCAUUAGCUAGUUGGUGAGGUAACGGCCCACCAAGGCGAUGAUGCGUAGCCGGCCUGAGAGGGUAAACGGCCCACAUUGGGACUGAGACACGGCCCAA